GUGGUGCCCUCUGACACCCAUGUCCUUGCCCUCUGUGGCUGGGGGACGAGCGCCCACGGCAGGCGCCUGGCCUGGGCUUGGCCUUUGUGCUCUGUGAGGGGACAAUGGGCGGCAUUCUCAGACGCCCUGUCAUGGGCCGCUCUGCUGGGGCCGUGGCUUCACAGUGAGGCCUCUGUCCAGUGCCACGGCGAGGGCACGGGCCCCACCCACGUCCCAGCCCUGAGACAGGACAGGAGGGAGGCAUGGGCUGUGCAGUCCUACUGUGUGUAGCUGCUUCCCGGCUGGGCCUUGCACAGAGCCAGGGCUAGUGGCUGCUGGACAGGGAUUGAACUCCGGACCUUGUGCUUGAGAGGCAGGCGGCAGAACCACUGAGCUAAAUCCCCAGCCCUCCCGUCCACUUUCUGCAAGCUCAACCCUGAAGCCAACUUGGCUCCCGGGAUGACACUGGUGAAACCCAGCCCCCCAAGUCCCUCUGCUGUGGCCUGUGCCUCAGUUUCUCUGGGGGUUGGGAGGCAUUGCUGAGGACCAUCAACCCCUGCCUCAAAUUGCAAGCCUAGGGUGACAGAAGCCUCUGAAUUCUCCAUGGACGUCGAGAGCAGAGCCUGGCACAGCCCCACACAGGGCCAGGCCGGAGCGAGAACCCUGGCGGGCAGUCAGGAGGGGAGAACACAGAGCCCCUGCAUCCCCCACCCCUCUCCUCAUCCUCUGCAGGCCGGAAGGAAGCCCAGGCGGGAGUCUGGCCCUCAGCUCCCAGAUGAGGAGAACUCGCUCAGAAGGAAAAUAACAUCAGUGCCAUUGUCCCGGCUCCAAAUCCUGCCUGAAAAACAAAGCCAGCCCCACUGCAGCCGGGGAUUCCCUGGCAAAGCCUCAGCCCGGCAGCCUGGUCAGGGCGGCGCAGACCCGCAGGGAGGCAAAGGGGUCAGCACCUGCAGUGGAGACUCCCGUGUACCCCACAAGCCCGGCAGCUGCCGCCAAGGGCUGCAGAGGCGGCUGGGGAGGAGGACGGUAGGCGGCGCCCCCUGAACAUCUGGCGACUUCUGCCCACUCCUGGACAGCUGUGUGCGGCUCUCAAAUUUCAACCCACCUCUCUCCUCCCCCGCAGCUGGCUGUGUCCACUCCUGGAUCCACCCCAGGGCCCGGGCAAGGGGGACAGGAGGCACAGAGUGUGGGGGAUGGGGUGGGGGUGGCCCGUGGGCUGGGAGGAGGCCCUCGGGGGUUU
rnacentral:lncRNA from 1 species